rnacentral:misc_RNA from 1 species
AACGCACAUUGCGCCCACUGGUAUUCCGGCGGGCAUGCCUGUCCGAGCGUUAUUAUAACCCUUCAAGCUCUGCUUGGCCUUGGGAUCUGCUCUAAUAGCAGCCCUUAAAAUCAUCGGCAGUGUUAUUUAACCCUAAGCGUAGUAAUUCUCCUCGCUAUAGGGCUUAGAUAUGCACUUGCCCAGAACUAUUAAUUUCUUAAGGUUAACCUCGGAUCAGGUAGGGAUACCCGCUGAACUUAA